rfam:Ascogregarina taiwanensis Contig3772, whole genome shotgun sequence.
AGGCCUGAGCUUGGACAAGGCUACCCACUGAAUUUAAGCAUAUUACUAAGUGGAGGAAAAGAAACUAACAAGGAUUCCCAUAGUAACGGCGAGUGAACAGGGAAUAGCUCAAGUUGAAAAUCAGCGGUUAUCCGUUGAAUUGUAGUCUCUUGAUAAAGUGCCAGUGGUUGCUUCGGACUAAGUCUCUUGGAAUAGGGCACCAAAGAGGGUGAUAGUCCCGUGUUGUCUGAAUGCUAACUACAUACGGUCGAUUAUCAUAGAGUCGCGUUUCUUGCAAUUGAAGCGCUAAGUGGGUGAUAAACUUCAUCUAAAGCUAAAUAUCAGCAAGAGUCCGAUAGAGCACAAGUACCGUGAGGGAAAGAUGAAAAGAACUCUGGAAAGAGAGUUAAAAGGAACUGAAAUUGCUAAGAGGAAAGUGGAGUGAUGAGGCGGUCUAUUGAAGUCUUGUGUUAUGGUUUUCCUAAUGCAAUACUCAACAAACCUUCGGAAACAAUGUGGAUUAGACGCCGGCUUUAGCUGUGCAACUCUUUUUGAGAAGCUGUGCUAUAGCUGAGUUUAUGAUAUAUUGGAUAACUGGCUUGGUGUUCGUCACUAUGUCAUUUUCCGUUGAAGUCUUAUCUCUCUAUCCCGUCUUGAAACACGGACCAAGGAGUCUAUCUCAAGUGCAAGUGCAAAGGUGUCAAACCUACGCGCGAAACGAAAGUAACUGUCAAGAUGGGUAACCUGCAUUGACAUCCAGCUACCAAGCUGCGAUAGAGCAUUUGGGAUAGGACCCGAAAGGUGGUGAACUAUACCUGAGUAGGGUGAAGUCAGAGGAAACUCUGAUGGAGGCUCGUAGCGAUACUGACGUGCAAAUCGUUCGUCAAACUUGGGUAUAGGGGCGAAAGACUAAUCGAACCAUCUAGUAGCUGGUUCCCUCCGAAGUUUCCCUCAGGAUAGCUGGAGUUAGUGUAGUUGCACCAGGUAAAGCGAAUGAUUAGAGGUAUCGGGGACUUAUUGUCUUCGACCUAUUCUCAAACUUUGAAUGGGUGCGAGUUAUCAGUUGCUUAAUUGAACUGAUGAGAUCAAUAAAAACUCCAAGUGGGCCAUUUUUGGUAAGCAGAACUGGCGAUGAGGGAUGCUCCUAACGUUGAGUUAAGGUGCUCAAGUCUCGCUCAUCAGAUACCAUAAAAGGUGUUAGUUCAUUUAAACAGCAGGAGGAUGGUCAUGGAAGUUGAAAUUCCCUAAGAAGUGUGUAACAACUUACCUGCCGAAUGAACCAGCCCUGAAAAUGGAUAGCGCUUAAGCGAGACACCGAUACUCAACCAUUACGACAAGUUGGCUUCGUGAUGAGUAGGAGGGCGUGAAGGUUGUACAGAAGUGUGUAGUGUGAACUCGCAUGGAACGGCCUUUAGUGCAGAUCUUGGUGGUAGUAGCAAUUAUUCAAAUGAGACCUUUGAAGACUGAAGCGGAGAAGGGUUCCGUGUGAACAGUAAUUGGACACGGGUUAGCCGGUCCUAAGGACGAGAUUUGUUUCUUUGAGAGGAGCUUUGCUCUAGUGUCCAAAAGGGUGUCAGUUUAAAAUCACUGAGCUAGGACGUGGGUAUAAUGUGGUAACACAACUGAACUUGGGUACACAAAGUAUGGCCCCGCGUAGCGUUUUCUUUGCUGUUUAACAGCUUGUCAAUCCCUGGAAAUAGAUCAUCUAGAGAUAGGGAUUGACAGCUGGAAAAGCAUUCUACUAUUUAGAGUGUGCGGUGCGCUGACCUUUGUCCUUGAAACCCCAAGGGAUUCUUAUUAUCCGCACCCCUAGCCGUACCAAAAACCGCAUCAGGUCUCCAAGGUUAUAAGCCUCUGGUCAUUAGGCCAAAGUAGAUAAGGGAAGUCGGCAAAUUAGAUCCGUAACUUUGGAAAAAGGAUUGGCUCUGAGGGCUGGGUAUUAAGAGACUUGCACUAAUUUCAUCGUUGGGUUCAAGGCUACUUGAAGUUCCGGCGGAUAGUGGAACUGUUCACGACGUUGUCUGCAGUGUUUGUAUCUUCUUACAUGAAACAGCUAACUCAGAACUGAAGCGGACACGUGGAAUCCGACUGUUUAAUUAAAACAAAGCAUUGCGAUGGCCUUGAUUGGCGUUGACGUAAUGUGAUUUCUGCCCAGUGCUCUGAAUGUCAAUGUGGUGAAAUUCAACUAAGCGCGGGUAAACGGCGGGAGUAACUAUGACUCUCUUAAGGUAGCCAAAUGCCUCGUCAUCUAAUUAGUGACGCGCAUGAAUGGAUUAACGAGAUUCCUACUGUCCCUAACUACUAUCUAGCGAAACCACAGCCAAGGGAACGGGCUUGGAUAAGUCAGCGGGGAAAGAAGACCCUGUUGAGCUUGACUCUAGUUUGACUUUGUGAAACGACUUGAAGGGUGUAGCAUAAGUGGGAGUGAAAACGUCCGUGAAAUACCACUACCUCCAAUGUCGUUUUACUUAUUUCGUGACGUUAAGACUUGCUUCUGCAAGGUUUUGCUUUAAGGCUUCGG